UCAUCUGGCCAUCCCACCCUGAACACACCUGAUCUUGUCUGACCUUGGAAACCAAACAGGGCUGGGCCUGGUUAGUACUUGGAUGGGAGAUCCCUGGGAAUACCGGGUGCUGCAGGCU
ensembl:rRNA 5S_rRNA 5S ribosomal RNA